GGAUAGGAAAUUACCAUAUACCUCUAGAAUAUUUGAGGAAUAUAAUUGUUGAGGGGCAAAUAAUAUCAUAUAGCUCAGAUACAAAAAAAAUAUUUAGGGAGGCAAGACAUCCCCUUCCUUUCUCUCUCUUCCGGUCACCCUCUCUUUCCCUUUGUUUUUCUCUUUGUUCUUCCCCCUUCUCCACUCUUCUCUAGGUUUAACAAUUCCUCCAUGGAUCUUAAGUGUUAGAACUGAAUUUGUAUGGGAAAGGAGGCCCAAUCCUCCUUGUACCCUCCGGACGUCUCGAUGUGUUUUGGUUCUCUUAAUUUUUGUUGGAUCUUAUUGGUUCCUCUUCUUGCUUUUGUCUCUGUCAGUGCAAGUCGCAGGUGAACCAGGCAGCGGCGAGUGCUGCUUCCAGCGCCGUUGGGCAGCGGCCUGGGCGAGGCGCUUGGGAGCAGGCGGCGGCUGCUGGUCGUCCACCGUGCGCGCGCCGCAACCCAAACUGGUGGGGUCGCGACGACCCUCAGCGCUGCAAGUAGGCAGCAUCCAUGCGCAGGGAAGCAGCAGGGGAAUCAUCCAGCAGCUGUGUGGAUCCAGGGCGUGCGUGCACGCAUGGCAGGAAGCAGGAGCACUAGUGCACGCCGCAAGAGCAGCAGGCAGUGCCGGCGGCGGCGACAGCGCUGGGGAGGCAGCGCCUGCUCUUGGCCAAGCCAGCCACGAUCCUCUGCAGGCCAAGCGGGGCAGACCACGGCAGCAGGCCUGGCAAGCAACUCGCAGCAGAAAACCAGCAAACAGGUGACAGGCAAGCCGCACACAUAAAGUGUUCGGACAAAUUACUAUCAAGCUUUUUCUUGUGCUCGUGUGGUGCUGCGUUGAUUUGUUUUGCAGGGCUUUGAAACUCGCGUGCGUGUGUGGGAAGUCCGUACCGAGACACCAUUGAUUUGUUGCUGUUUUCGUUGAUGCCCACCAAGUGUUCCAGGAAAUGCGGUACCCGGGUUUUCCCCGCCAAGGUGAACAUUUUUGCUAGCAACUUGUGUAUUGCUUGUUUGCGGCUCUGUGUGCGUUGUGCAGGUGCAGGUGUGAAAGAAAUUUGCAGGUCGAGUAAGCAGGAGCACGCCUGCACAUCUCAGGGGAGUACCCGGCCCUUUACUUGCAUUUUAUUUUCAGCACUUGGUAAUUAUUUCAUGCACUCCGUUUUAGACUAGAUGAUUAGCUUUUGGUGCUGAUAAUGAUGCUGAAGUAAUUCACAUGCUCAGUGAAGUACUUGUUCUAGCUAAUCGUUGUUCGGCUUUACAUGCUUGAUCAAGAGGUCUCUUUGUAGCUUUUAAUUCUAAUCAUUUUAGUGAGUCUUCUGGACAAGCUUUGUUUUUGCUUGAUUCGAGCUUUGCUAUUCUUUGUAUAAUCUUUGUUUGCUCAGUCAAGUGAAUUCUUUGUUAGUAGCUUUUGUCGAGUCGAUCACGUUGCUUUUUUUAUCCAUUUUGCAUCGAGCUUAUGCCCUUUUGUUUAAUCUGUGCUUUCGCUCUGUGUUGAGCCUUGCUCGAGUAAAUUGGCUUUUACUUGAUUCCACUUUGCGUUGAGUUUUUUCUAACAGUUCCUAGGGUGAACUCGUCGCGUGUUGUCUAGUGCCACAUUGGGGGUUAGAAGAGAGGCGGGUCGGGAUUGAAUUCGGGACAUAGGCCUUGUUCUUUUGGAGAAUUUUAAAGGCUCCCAUUCAACCCCCCCCCCCCCCCCCCCCCAAACCUCUCCCCUCUAGUUGUCUGUCCAGUCCUUCAUAGUUGAACCAUCCCUUAUAAAUACCCGUAACGGUAAUUGAUGGGAUGGCUAAUCCAAGGCUAAUAGAAUAUUGAUUUCUACACCGAAGGUGUCUGUGUGGUUUUCUCUGGUGCCUUUGGUAUUUUCGAGUGACUGUUGUGGUACUACUUCGCUCCAUAGAGUACUUUCCACCAACAUAAGACAUCCGAUUGAGCGCAUCAGCGAGGUCCGUUGUGACUAAAAGCUCGCCGAGCGCAUCCUACAAAGAGAUAUUCCUGAUUUCCCGUCCCGGUGAGCAUCAUGAAGCAGUAGCUUUAGCACCUGCUUAUUAGUUGGAUAUCAAAAUGUGAGCAUAGCAUAAUAUGCUAAUAUUUUUUUAUUAAAAUCUUAGCAAGUUUAGAAUAGCACUCGAUUAGAUGAGUUAUUUUUUUAUCUUCAACUAAAUAAGUGCCAAAAUUUAUAAGCUUGCCUACAUCUUAAUAGGAUAUAUUCGAAAGCGAAUUAAUCAGAUUGUCGUUGUGCUCAAGAUCGCGACCGCUACCGUCGGCCCAGUCUGUCGGGAACACUGAUCACGAAAAGGCCAACAGCCCAAACAUCUCGUGCUGUAUGUGGUGCAGAAUAUUUUUGUACAAGUAUUAUGUUGGCUGAAAUACUACUUCUAUCCCAAAAUAUAAGUAUUUUCAGAUUUGGUCAAAAAUCAAAUUUAUGCAAAUUUGAUCAUCAAUAUCCUUAUGAAUAAAUUAUUUUAAAUAUAAAUGAUUAUAUAUUCUGAUAAUUGCUUUCAUAACGAAUCUAGUUUUUUUUUAUCUUAUAUAUCUUUAUAAAUUAUUUACUAUUUAUAGUCAAAGUUGAAUAAAUCUAGAAAUGCUUAUAUUAUGGAAUGGAGGGAGUAUAACGUAGGGAAAAAAAGAAGAAUUUCUAUUCAUCGGGCGCAUGAGCUGGUGUUGAUGCAUUGCCGAAGUCCCUUGCCGCAUGUGACGUGUCUCGGUUUGUGUGCAAUGCAUGUACUCAAAUUUUUUUUAAAAAAAUCUCUAUUUCAUAAAUUGAUGGUCUAAAUCAAAUUCUGAUUACACUGCAGUGAUCCUUAUGUUUAGAUUUUCAAAACUAGAUUACACUUGCCUACGCUUGAAAAAUAUUGUUUUGAAAUAGAUUGUUUGUUCUAGAAGGUCAUGGAAGGUCAGAUGGUUUUGAAAUACUUCUGCAUCCAUGAACUCCCUCCUUGGAAAGUAAACUUCUUUAAGAAUUCUUGCACUUAAAAGAACUCCCGGAGGUGGAUGGGAAAUUUUUUGAGAAGUUAAGAUGGAUGGGAAUUGCGGACCUCUUCUGUGCGACGAAAAGUCCGCUUUCUUGCUCGCAAAAGCCCAUGAAACGGGAAAAAAAUAGUCGCCUUCAAGAGUAGGCCUGUCUAUGUUGGGCUGCUAUUGCCCAUUCUGAUUUAUGGCCUUUGGCCCAAUCACAUCAUGACGUGUGGUCGGGCGCAUGUGGCCCAAUCACUUCAACGUCUAAGUUUAUGGGCCUAAAUAAAUUGAAAAUAUAGUAUGUCUCAAUUGUGUUUGAAAAACUAUGCCCACUUGCUCUCUCUCUCUCUCUCUCAAACUCAAACAAAAAGUAGUUCUACGCAAUUUUGAGCCUUCGAAACUAAGUCCAUAUUUGUUUGAGUUUCUGAAUAUUUUUGGAUUAUUAACUUUUAGGAUCGUCAAAAGUUAAAUACUCUUAAAACUAGAAGCACCCUGCCAUGACCUUUUGAGCUUCUAGCUUUUGGAAGCAUCCGACUUCUGGACAUUACAAACAGGGCUGAGAGAUGAAGAUCGCCUGCUGCUACCCGGGGCUCUGUGCACGCGUGAAAUCUCACGUGGAAGUACAACUCACGUGAAAAUGCACAAUGUUUAAAAAUAUGAGAGCCAUUCAAUGUUCUUAAAACUUAUCAUAUGGCCUUUUAGAAAACAUUAUCACAUAGACAGGAGGUCAUUUUACAUACCUGCGCAGAAUUAUUUUAAGAUAGUCAAUCAUUCUCAUGUAAUAGUCUGUCCUGUUGCACAAACGCACCAAUUUUUUUUAUAAAAAAAACACUAGCGCACGGGUCUGAUCUUAAACCGUCCCUAACGAUGCCUUUCCUCUACAGCCGAGCAAAAACUUUGCGAGAAUUUUAGACCUUAUUUGUUUUCAAGAGUUUUUUUUAAGUUCCUGUCACAUCAAAAAGAAUCUUACUAUUUUGAAGUAUCAAAUAAAAUUUAUUUAUAAUUUUUUUGACAGCUAAGUGCUAAUUCGCGAGACGAAUCCAAUGAGUCUAAUUAAUCCAUAAUUUGCUGCAGUGAUGCUACAGUAAUCAUCCGCUAAUUAUAGAUUAAUAUACCUCAUUAGAUUUAUUUUGCAGUUUAGCCCUAAAGUUCUUCCGUUAGUUUUAUAAUUAAUCUUUAUUUAAUACUUCUAAAUACUAAGAUUCUCUUUGAUGUGAUAUAGACUAAAUUUUAACCCCUGGAACCAAACAACCCCUCUUCUGCACCUGAUUAUUCUGAGUCUAACUAACUUGGAAAAAGUCUACAUCACCCCCUCACCUAUGGAAGGUGGACUACAUAACCCCCCAAACUAUGAAACGGUCUACAUCACCCCUUGAACUUUCCAAAACCAGUCAAAUUACCCCCCUAAAGCAGUUUUGAAAAAUUAUAGUAAAUCACAAAAAAUAUAAAAUGGGAAAUCCAAUUGUGUUAGACUCCAAAUGAGUAGAUCUACACAAUGAACGUAUAAUAUGGUAUGUUUUAAUAUAUUUUUUGCUGUAGCUUUAGAUUUAUACUUUUCUUUAUAGCUGUAAAAAAAUGUACUAAAGCAUACCAUAUUAUAUGUUCACAAUGUAGAUCUACUCAUUUGGAGUCCAACACAAUUGAAUUUUUUAUUUUAUGAUUUUUCUGUGAUUUACUAUGAUUUUUCAAAACUGCUUUAGGGGUAAUUUGACCGGUUUUAAAAAGUUCAGGGAGUGAUAUAGACCGUUUUAUAGGUUGUGGGUUAUGUAUUGCACCCCCAUAAGUUGGGAGGUGAUAUAGACUUUUUCCAACUAACUUUCCAUUUUCAUGUGAUGCAAAGACCGGGACAAUAUUAUUCCACAGAAUCCAGAUGCAGUGCAGCCCUGACGAUGUCAUAGCAUAAACUGGCGUGUGAAACACAAGAAAAUGCACCGCAACAAUGUGUUGCCGUCUUGCAAAGCUGGCGAAGAAAACAAAUCAAAAUAGACAAAAGACGGCAUGUCGGGUUGCGGGCAGAUCCGAUGCAAGAAUGGCCCCCAUCCUCUGAUCCUCAUCCAGCUCCUGAAGCUCUGAUCCUCUGAUCGGAGGAAACGAACAAAACGUCCUGCUCCCUCGUGAAUUACUUACCUGUCGAGGUCCAGAUUGUAGUCCGUCGAGAGCAUUGACCACGGGAUAAUUAAUUCAGUUCGUGUUUGUAAUUGAGAGAAAACGAGUUAGAUAUUUGGAUUGAGGCUGUCGUCAAUCCAUCCUCAGAACUCACGUAAUCCUUGUGCGGAUCCAGCUCUUGAAGCCGAAGUGGCUGUUCAGCAAAGCAGUCAGGUACACUAGCACUCUUCAUACUGAUCAGGGUCACCAAAUCUGCUCCAAAAAAAUCUGCCCGCAACCCACAUGCAUAAAUUUCGUCAAAUCGAGCCUUAAUUCGUUCUCUGCCUUAUACGCUCAAUCUUCCUGAUCGGCUUCGCCUUCCAGCUCCCCGCAAGAAACCGCUCGAGUCGAGCAAAACACCGAAAGCAACCGGUGAUCUCAUCCCCUGUUCCGGACAGGAACGCAUUGGCGAGCUCCUGUACGGUGACAAGAGGAUCAGCUCAGCAUGGUGUCACGGCCCCAGCCGCUCGCACAACCAGCGGCGGCGGCGCGUGCGCAUCGCGCAGCAAAAACUGCCCAAGGAGUGACGCGAUUUCCCGGGGGGUUUUCUUCGGCAACUUGCACGGUCUGACUCUCGCCUCGUUCGCGCUGCAGGCCCAGUUGGCAGUUUACAAAACGGAGCUCGGUCAGGUCGCCACUGGUACAGUUGCGUCGUUGCGGCUGAAUGGCUGAUGCUGAUGACCAGCUUAAACUUAUAGUAUCCGGCAGGCCGUGCAGCUGCGAUCAGGGAUCCUGAUCCUUUCAGCACCUCGAGUCCUUGAGUUUUCAGAGAACUAGCAAUCAGUACCCCGCUCGCAUCACGAGCAUGUGACAGACUUGAGUGGUCAGAGAUCAUUGUUGCUGUUCGGUUUUCAACCGGAGAGGUGACAAAGAUUGGCGAAAGGUGUUAUUCAGAAACCUUGUUAUUUGUCACAGAAGAGAAAGAGCCACUGUUCUCUGAAAACAAAAGUUCACUUGGAAGAAGUUCGGAAAUGAACAACUAUGU